GAUGAACGCUGGCGGCGUGCCUAACACAUGCAAGUCGAACGGAAAGGCCCUGCUCUUGUGGGGUUCUCGAGUGGCGAACGGGUGAGUAACACGUGUGUAUCCCGCCCUUGACUUUGGGAUAACUUCAGGAAACUGGGGCUCAUAUCGGAUAGGAGCUCUUGCUGCACGGUGGGGGUUGGAAAGAUUCGGCGGUUGGGGAUCGACUCGCGGCUUACCCGCUUGUUGGUCGGGUAGUUGCUUACGAAGGCUUUGACGGAUAGCCGGCCUGGGAGCGUUACCGGGGACAUUAGGCCUACGGGAGGCACCAGAAGGGAACGGGAGGCAGCGGGGGGGAAUGUUGCGCAGUGGGCGGAAGCCUGAGGCGGCAGCGCCGCGAGCGGAAUGACGGCCUACGGGUUGUAAACAGCUUUCGCCGGAGACAAAGCGUGAGUGACGGUAAUGGGUAAGGAAGCACCGGCUAACUACGUG
rnacentral:rRNA from 1 species